UAAUUUCCACUUAUCAAGCAACACUCCCAUCAAUAGUGAAGUGAGCCUCUUCACCAUUAAAAGACCAAUCCCAUCUUCCUGCCUUUUGUGGACAGGUGUUUCGCCCACAUGUGGCUUGCAUGCAUUGGCUAAUGAUAUUAUUACAUCCAGUCUAUUAAGAUUCAAAAUUACCAAGUACUUAGUAAGUAUUAGUUUGAAGCUUGCCUCCCUUACCAUACAAUAUUUUGCCUUGGAAUUGCCUGUGAAAGUUAGAGUGACACUUCUCCUUCCAGAUGAAUCAAACCCAAAAAUACAUGUUUUCCCAUUGUUGGCUAUAUCAGCACCACAAAAAGUAUUGGCAGCUUGUUGGUAAUUAGACUGUAAGCCCUGCUGGCAUGGAACCUCCAUAACAAUCAGCACUAUAAAUUACACCAAAGUACAAAAGGUUAAGAAACAAAGUGCAAUAAUUACUCUAUCCAUUGUGAUUGAAAAGAUGUAUUGCAAUGUCA
rnacentral:lncRNA from 1 species